GAUACGCAGGAUAUAUUUAGGUGCGCA
rnacentral:sRNA from 1 species